CAUGCAAGUCGAACGGAAACCUUCGGGUUUUAGUGGCGAACGGGUGAGUAACACGUAAGCAACCUACCCUAAAGACGAGGAUAACCAUUGGAAACAGUGGCUAAGACUGGAUAGGAAGAUAAAAGGCAUCUUGUAUCUUUUAAAAGACCUAGUUAAUAGGUAUGCUUUAGGAGGGGCUUGCGCCAUAUUAGUUAGUUGGUAGGGUAAUGGCCUACCAAGACGAUGAUGUGUAGCUGGACUGAGAGGUUGAACAGCCACAUUGGGACUGAGACACGGCCCAAACUCCUACGGGAGGCAGCAGUAGGGAAUUUUCGGCAAUGGAGGAAACUCUGACCGAGCAACGCCGCGUGAAUGACGAAGUACUUCGGUAUGUAAAGUUCUUUUAUCGAGGAAGAAAAGCAAAUGGCGAACCAUUUGUUUGCCGGUACUUGAUGAAUAAGCCCCGGCUAAUUAUGUGCCAGCAGCCGCGGUAAGACAUAAGGGGCAAGUGUUAUCCGGAAUUAUUGGGCGUAAAGGGUGCGUAGGCGGUCUAGUAAGUCAGUGGUGUAAUGGCAACGCUUAACGUUGUCCGGCUAUUGAAACUGCUAAACUUGAGUUAGAUAGAGGCGAGUGGAAUUCCAUGUGUAGCGGUAAAAUGCGUAAAUAUAUGGAGGGACACCAGAGGCGUAGGCGGCUCGCUGGGUCUUAACUGACGCUGAGGCACGAAAGCGUGGGGAGCAAACAGGAUUAGAUACCCUGGUAGUCCACGCCGUAAACGAUGAGUACUAAGUGUCGGGUUAAACCGGUACUGAAGUUAACACAUUAAGUACUCCGCCUGAGUAGUACGUACGCAAGUAUGAAACUUAAAGGAAUUGACGGGACUCCGCACAAGCGGUGGAUCAUGUUGUUUAAUUCGAAGAUACCCGAAAAACCUUACCAGGUCUUGACAUGUUUUUGCAAAAUGAUAGUAAUAUCGUGGAGGUUACCAGAAACACAGGUGGUGCAUGGUUGUCGUCAGCUCGUGUCGUGAGAUGUUAGGUUAAGUCCUAAAACGAGCGAAACCCUUAUCGUUAGUUGCCAGCACGUUAUGGUGGGGACUUUAACGAGACUGCCAAUGAUAAAUUGGAGGAAGGUGAGGAUCACGUCAAAUCAGCAUGCCCCUUAUGACCUGGGCUACAAACGUGAUACAAUGGCUGUUACAAAGGGUAGCUGAAACGCAAGUUCUUGGCCAAUCCCCAAAAACAGUCCCAGUCCGGAUUGAAGUCUGCAACUCGACUUCAUGAAGUUGGAAUCGCUAGUAAUCGCGAAUCAGCAUGUCGCGGUGAAUACGUUCUCGGGGUUUGUACACACCGCCCGUCAAACCACGAAAGUUGGCAAUACCCCAAAACGGUAGCCUAACUCGUUUAUUCGAGAGGGCGCCGUCUAAGGUAGGGUCGAUGAUUGGGGUUAAG
rnacentral:rRNA from 1 species